rnacentral:rRNA from 1 species
GAUGAACGCUAGCGGCAGGCUUAACACAUGCAAGUCGAGGGGUAUAGGGAGCUUGCUUCCUAGAGACCGGCGCACGGGUGCGUAACGCGUAUGCAAUCUACCUUUUGCAGAGGGAUAGCCCAGAGAAAUUUGGAUUAAUACCUCAUAGUAUGUGAGGAUGGCAUCAUUUUCACAUUAAAGUCACAACGGCAAAAGAUGAGCAUGCGUCCCAUUAGCUAGUUGGUAAGGUAACGGCUUACCAAGGCUACGAUGGGUAGGGGUCCUGAGAGGGAGAUCCCCCACACUGGUACUGAGACACGGACCAGACUCCUACGGGGAGGCAGCAGUGAGGAAUAUUGGACAAUGGGCGCAAGCCUGAUCCAGCCAUGCCGCGUGCAGGAAUAAGGUCCUAUGGAUUGUAAACUGCUUUUAUACAGGAAGAAACAACUGGUUCGUG